GAUGAACACUGGCGGCGUGCCUAAUACAUGCAAGUCGAGCGAACAGACGAGGAGCUUGCUCCUCUGACGUUAGCGGCGGACGGGUGAGUAACACGUGGAUAACCUACCUAUAAGACUGGGAUAACUUCGGGAAACCGGAGCUAAUACCGGAUAAUAUAUUGAACCGCAUGGUUCAAUAGUGAAAGACGGUUUUGCUGUCACUUAUAGAUGGAUCCGCGCCGCAUUAGCUAGUUGGUAAGGUAACGGCUUACCAAGGCAACGAUGCGUAGCCGACCUGAGAGGGUGAUCGGCCACACUGGAACUGAGACACGGUCCAGACUCCUACGGGAGGCAGCAGUAGGGAAUCUUCCGCAAUGGGCGAAAGCCUGACGGAGCAACGCCGCGUGAGUGAUGAAGGUCUUCGGAUCGUAAAACUCUGUUAUUAGGGAAGAACAAAUGUGUAAGUAACUAUGCACGUCUUAACGGUACCUAAUCAGAAAGCCACGGCUAACUACGUG
rnacentral:rRNA from 1 species